rnacentral:lncRNA from 1 species
NNNNNNNNNNNNNNNNNNNNNNNNNNNNNNNNNNCCGGUGUCACUCAGGUGUCACUCAGGUGUGUCACCUGUCACUCAGGUGUCACUCCGGUGUCACUCAGGUGUCACUCAGUUGUCACUCAGGUGUCAGGUGUGAUACAUCUAUCACUCAGGUGUGUCACCUGUCACUCAGGUGUCUCUCUCCCCCCACAGAGUGCAGGUGUGAUGUCGGUGUCACUCAGGUGUGUCACCUGUCACUCAGGUGUCACUGCGGUGUCACUCAGGUGUCACUCAGCUGUCACUCAGGUGUCACUCAGUUGUCACUCAGGUGUGACGGAGCUGUCACUCAGGUGUGUCACCUGUCACUCAGGUGUCACUCAGGUGUCAGGUGUGAUACAUCUAUCACUCAGGUGUCACUCAGGUGUCACUCAGGUGUCACUCAGGUGUGUCACCUGUCACUCACCUGUCACUCAGGUGUCACUCAGGUGUCACUCAGGUGUAUCACCUGUCACUCAGGUAUCUCUCCCCCGCAGGGCGCAGGUGUGAUGUCGGUGUACUCAGGUGUCACUCAGGUGUCACUCAGGUGUCACUCAGGUGUGUCACCUGUCACUCAGUUGUCACUCAGUUGUCACUCAGGUGUCACUCAGGUGUCACACAGCUGUCACUCAGGUGUCACACAGGUAUCUCUCUCCCCGCAGGGCGCAGGUGUGAUGUCGGUGUACUCAGGUGUCACUCACCUGUCUCUCACCUGUCACUCAGGUGUGUCACCUGUCACUCAGCUGUCACUCAGGUGUCACUCAGGUGUCACUCAGGUGUCUCUUCCCCCCCGCAGGGCGCAGGUGUGAUGUCGGUGUACUCAGGUGUCACUCAGGUGUAACAGUGUCACUCUGGUGUCACUUACCUGUCACUCAGGUGUGACAGUGUCACUCUGGUGUCACUCAGGUGUCACUCAGGUGUGACGGAGCUGUCACUCAGGUGUGUCACCUGUCACUCAGGUGUCACUCAGGUGUGAUACAUUUAUCACUCCGGUGUCACUCAGCUGUCACUCAGGUGUCACUCAGGUAUCUCUCCCCCGCAGGGCGCAGGCGUGAUGUCGGUGUACUCAGGUGUCACUCAGGUGUGUCACCUGUCACUCAGGUGUCGCUUACCUGUCACUCAGGUGUGACAGUGUCACUCCAGUGUCACUCAGCUGUCACUCAGGUGUGACGGAGCUGUCACUCAGGUGUGUCACCUGUCACUCAGGUG